AUUGAACGCUGGCGGCAUGCCUUACACGUGCAAGUCGAACGGCAGCACGGGAGCAAUCCUGGUGGCGAGUGGCGAACGGGUGAGUAAAGUAUCGGAACGUGCCCAGUCGUGGGGGAUAACGUAGCGAAAGUUACGCUAAUACCGCAUACGAUCUAUGGAUGAAAGCGGGGGAUCGCAAGACCUCGCGCGAUUGGAGCGGCCGAUAUCAGAUUAGGUAGUUGGUGGGGUAAAGGCUCACCAAGCCGACGAUCUGUAGCUGGUCUGAGAGGACGACCAGCCACACUGGGACUGAGACACGGCCCAGACUCCUACGGGAGGCAGCAGUGGGGAAUUUUGGACAAUGGGCGCAAGCCUGAUCCAGCCAUGCCGCGUGCAGGAUGAAGGCCUUCGGGUUGUAAACUGCUUUUGUACGGAACGAAAAGGUUUGGCCUAAUACGCUGAACUCAUGACGGUACCGUAAGAAUAAGCACCGGCUAACUACGUGCCAGCAGCCGCAGUAA
rnacentral:rRNA from 1 species